CAUAAUGACACUGGGAGUUCUCUCCCAACAUCUGGCUAAGUUUAUGUUGGAGUGUGCAUGUGUUUGUGCCUGUCUGCUGCCCCUGUGAUGGCCGUAUGUGUUUUCUGUUCAUCAUUUCAGAGUGUUUCUCACUACAAACGAGUGCGGUUCACAAAGUGAAAAUAAGCGCAUUAAUGCAGCGGCAGCAGCAAAUGUUAAUCCCACAAAACAUACAUCCAUCCAGAAUAAGCAAAAAAGAAAAGUAGAAAAAAAAAGCCAAAAGUAAUUUGAAAUUUCAAAUGAAAAAUUCUACACAAGCCUAAAAGAAAAAUUUAGAGGCAACAUAUUGUGAGAGCAAUGAAGCAAAUGGAAAAAUAAAAAAAUUGUCCAAAAGAAAAAGAUUAAAAAAUAUUUAAAAAGCAGAAAAAAUAUCAAAAGAGAUACAUGCAGUGAAAAAUUUUAAGUCAUAGAAAAAAUUAUAGAAAAUAUCUUAGAUAAAACAAAAUUUUAUUGAAAUUGGUAAAAAAAAGCAUCCCUAGAGCAAAAAUUUGGAUUAAAGCCUACUUGGUAGCAGAGAAUUGAGUGGUAUACGAUAACAAAAAUUAAAUAUAACAAAAUAUCAUAAGGUCAAGCUUAACAUAUCGUUCAACAUUGAUGUUUAGACAGUUUAUGGAAAUUUUAAAUAAAAAACCAUCAGCAGUUUCCAAUUGCAUAUAUAAUUCUAAUUAUGGAAUAAAUUAAUAAACAAAAUAUUUAAAAAAAAGCUUAAACAGAAAUGAAAGGAAAUCAAUAAAUCAUUCAAACUACUGAGAAGCCAUAUGUUAUCAGUGAUUAUCCCCCAAGGACAAAAUAAAUAUAACAAAUUUCCAACUUCCACAUAGGCAAAAUUUAUUUUGCCCUACCAACUCUAGGUCAGCCUUCAAGUCCAGCCUACCGUCAACCCCACAACAAAGUGAUUUUCUCCCUCCAACUCAUGCAGCUAUUCAUCUUUAUGGGCCGUAGACGUUACUUUUCCACUCUGCUGGGCGAGUAAUUGAAUAAAAAAAUCAAAUAUCAAAGGUUUUUUAUUGUUGGUAAGCAUGCUGAAUAAGUGACUGA